GCAUCAGUAGCUCAGCUUAGAGCACCAGUCUUGUAAGCUGGGGGUCGGGGGUUAAAAUCCCCCCUUUUGUU
rnacentral:tRNA from 1 species